GCACAAGCGGUGGAGCAUGUGGUUCAAUUCGACGCAACGCGAAGAACCUUACCCAGGCUCGAACGGCAAGUGACAUCCGGCGAAAGCCGGCUCCCGCAAGGGCAGUUGCCGAGGUGCUGCAUGGCUGUCGUCAGCUCGUGUCGUGAGAUGUUGGGUUAAGUCCCGCAACGAGCGCAACCCUUGUCCGCUGUUGCCAUCAGGUUAAGCUGGGCACUCUGCGGAGACUGCCGGUGAUAAACCGGAGGAAGGUGGGGAUGACGUCAAGUCAGCAUGGCCUUUAUGUCUGGGGCUACACACGUGCUACAAUGGCAGAUACAAACCGUCGCGAGACCGCAAGGUGGAGCUAAUCGGAGAAAGUCUGUCUCAGUUCGGAUUGCAGGCUGCAACUCGCUUGCAUGUAUUUGGGGGGGUUAUUUAUCGCGGAUCAGCACGCCGCGGUGAAUACGUUCCCGGGCCUUGUACACACCGCCCGUCACAUCACGAAAGCUGGCUGUACUAGAAGUCGCCGCGCUAACCCGCAAGGGAGGCAAGCGCCUAAGGUAUGGUUAGUGAUUGGGGUUGAAGGUGGUACAAGGUA
rnacentral:rRNA from 1 species